rnacentral:rRNA from 1 species
AAUCAACGCUGGCGGCGUGCCUAACACAUGCAAGUCGAACGAGAAAGUGGAGCAAUCCAUGAGUACAGUGGCGACCGGGUGAGUAACACGUGAUUAACCUACCCUCGAGUGGGGGAUAACUCCGGGAAACCGGAGCUAAUACCGCAUAACAUCGCGAGGUUUAAGUAUCUUGCGAUCAAAGGAGCAAUUCGCUCGAGGAGGGAGUCGCGGCUGAUUAGCUAGUUGGCGGGGUAACGGCCCACCAAGGCGAUGAUCAGUAGCCGGCCUGAGAGGGCGCACGGCCACACUGGAACUGAAACACGGUCCAGACUCCUACGGGAGGUAGCAGUGGGGAAUUUUGCGCAAUGGGGGAAACCCUGACGCAGCAACGCCGCGUGGAGGAUGAAGUCCUUUGGGAUGUAAACUCCUUUCGACCGGGAAGAUUAUGACGGUACCGGAGGAAGAAGCACCGGCUAACUCUGUGCCAGCAGCCGCGGUAAUACAGAGGGUGCGAGCGUUGUUCGGAAUUAGUU